AUUUAAGAGACAAUACCCUUAAAGGCACCAGAUCCCUUCAGAUCUUGAAAGUUAAGGAGGGUCAUGCCUGGUUGGUACCUGGAUGGGAGAUCUCCAAUGAAUAUGCUGUGCUGUAGGCU
rnacentral:rRNA from 11 species